UACGUAGGGCGCAAGCGUUGUCCGGAAUUAUUGGGCGUAAAGAGCUCGUAGGCGGUUUGUCGCGUCUGUCGUGAAAGCUUGGGGCUUAACCCCAAGUCUGCGGUGGAUACGGGCAGACUAGAGGCAGGUAGGGGAGAACGGAAUUCCCGGUGUAGCGGUGAAAUGCGUAGAUAUCAGGAGGAACACCGAUGGCGAAGGCAGGUCUCUGGGCUGACACUGACGCUCAUGCACGAAAGCGUGGGGAGCAAACAGG
rnacentral:rRNA from 1 species